UACGAAGGGGGCUAGCGUUGUUCGGAAUGACUGGGCGUAAAGCGCACGUAGGCGGCUUGUUUAGUCAGAGGUGAAAUCCCGGGGCUUAACCCCGGAACUGCCUUUGAUACUGGCAAGCUUGAGUCCGGAAGAGGGUGACGGAAUACCCAGUGUAGAGGUGAAAUUCGUAGAUAUUGGGUAGAACACCAGUGGCGAAGGCGGUCACCUGGUCCGGUACUGACGCUGAGGUGCGAAAGCGUGGGGAGCAAAC
rnacentral:rRNA from 2 species